rnacentral:misc_RNA from 1 species
AUCAGCUCAGAAGUAUUGGAUUGGGGGUGCAGCUAAUCAUGCAACACAUACCAUAGUUUUCUCUCAGCUCAUCAUUGACGGGGAAAAUCAAGGUGUCCAUGCUUUUAUUGCUCAGAUCAGAGAUGAAAAUGGUGACAUUUGCCCAAACAUCCGCAUAGCUGAUUGUGGUCACAAGAUUGGCUUAAAUGGUGUUGACAAUGGCAGAAUUUGGUUUGACAAUGUCCGGGUACCCAGAGAAAAUUUGUUAAAUUCAGUGGCGGAUGUUUCUCCAGAUGGGAAAUAUCUUACUGCUAUCAAGGAUCCUGACCAGAGAUUUGCAGCAUUUUUGUCUCCUUUGACAUCUGGCCGUGUUACAAUUGCAGCUAGUGCAGUUUACUCCGCAAAGAUUGGUUUGGCAACCGCGAUAAGAUACUCGCUGACAAGAAGAGCGUUUUCAGUUACUCCUAAUGGACCAGAAGUUCUUAUACUUGAUUACCCAAGUCAUCAACGGCGACUUCUUCCUCUUCUUGCAAAAACAUAUGCUAUGAGCUUUGCUGCUAACCAGUUGAAAAUGAUGUACGUCAAGAGGACACCUGAGAUGAACAAAGUUAUUCAUGUUGUUUCAAGUGCAUUUAAAGCUUCUGCAAGUUGGCAUAAUAUGCGAACUCUUCAGGAAUGUCGUGAAGCCUGUGGAGGCCAAGGGUUGAAGACUGAAAAUAGGAUUGGCCAGCUAAAAGGUGAAUAUGACGUGCAGUCUACUUUUGAGGGUGACAACAAUGUUCUUAUGCAACAGGUAAGCAAGGCACUUUUUGGGGAAUAUGUGGCAGCCAAAAGGAGUAAGAAACCGUUCAGAGGAUUGGGAUUAGAACACAUGAACACCUCUCGUCCCGUCAUACCUUCACAACUUACAAGUAUUACAAUGAGGCAAGCCCAGUUCCAGAAUGACAUAUUCUGCCUACGGGAACGAGACCUGUUGGAACGUUUUGCUGCUGAAGUUUCGCAAUGCCAGGCACAGGGAAAAAGCAAGGAAUAUGCUUUUACUUUGAAUUAUCAGCUUGCUGAAGACCUGGGGAGAGCCUUCUCAGACCGAGCAGUUCUCCAUACUUUCCUCGACGCAGAGGCAUCCGUCACAUCUGGCCCCCUUAAGAACGUUUUGGAUCUCGUCAGAUCGAUGUAUGUUCUGAUCACCCUAGAAGAGGAUGCUGCAUUCCUCCGAUACGGAUACCUGUCCAUGGACAACGCUGCAAUAGUGAGAAAAGAAGUUGCAAAGCUAUGCAGUGAACUAAGGCCACAUGCACUUUCCUUGGUCAGUUCCUUUGGCUUACCUGACGCCUUCUUGAGCCCGAUAGCUUUCAAUUGGGUUGAAGCCAAUGCUUGGUCGUCUGAACAAAACUAGCUCGUCGUUCUUCUGAACAAUCCUUUGGCUUACAUGGCUUGUUGUUGCAACUUAUGUGUUUGCCAUGAAUAACCAAUAGGCUACUUGCCAUUGUUCUUUCUCAAAAAAUAAGUACAUUUCACCUUUUAUCUUUAGUCAUGAAAGGACAGAUAGUUUUACUGAUAGAAAGUGUUGUUUGAUCCUCUGGUAUGUUAUAGAUGAUCUGUCUAUGUGUAUAUGCUCAUUAAGAUAUCAUGACAUUUGAACAGG